rnacentral:rRNA from 1 species
UGGGGAAUAUUGCAUAAUGGAGGGAACUCUGAUGCAGCGACGCCGCGUGAACGAAGAAGGCUUUCGAGUCGUAAAGUUCUUUUAUAUGGGAAGAUAAUGACGGUACCAUAAGAAAAAGCCCCGGCUAACUACGUGCCAGCAGCCGCGGUAAUACGUAGGGGGCUAGCGUUGUCCGGAAUCACUGGGCGUAAAGGGUUCGCAGGCGGAAAUGCAAGUCAGGUGUAAAAGGCAGUAGCUUAACUACUGUAAGCAUUUGAAACUGCAUAUCUUGAGAAGAGUAGAGGUAAGUGGAAUUUUUAGUGUAGCGGUGAAAUGCGUAGAUAUUAAAAAGAAUACCGGUGGCGAAGGCGACUUACUGGGCUCAUUCUGACGCUGAGGAACGAAAGCGUGGGUAGCAAACAGG